AGAGUUUGAUCAUGGCUCAGAUUGAACGCUGGCGGCAGGCCUAACACAUGCAAGUCGAGCGGUAGCACAGAGAGCUUGCUCUCGGGUGACGAGCGGCGGACGGGUGAGUAAUGUCUGGGAAACUGCCUGAUGGAGGGGGAUAACUACUGGAAACGGUAGCUAAUACCGCAUAACGUCGCAAGACCAAAGUGGGGGACCUUCGGGCCUCAUGCCAUCAGAUGUGCCCAGAUGGGAUUAGCUAGUAGGUGGGGUAACGGCUCACCUAGGCGACGAUCCCUAGCUGGUCUGAGAGGAUGACCAGCCACACUGGAACUGAGACACGGUCCAGACUCCUACGGGAGGCAGCAGUGGGGAAUAUUGCACAAUGGGCGCAAGCCUGAUGCAGCCAUGCCGCGUGUGUGAAGAAGGCCUUCGGGUUGUAAAGCACUUUCAGCGGGGAGGAAGGCGUUAAGGUUAAUAACCUUGGCGAUUGACGUUACCCGCAGAAGAAGCACCGGCUAACUCCGUGCCAGCAGCCGCGGUAAUACGGAGGGUGCAAGCGUUAAUCGGAAUUACUGGGCGUAAAGCGCACGCAGGCGGUCUGUCAAGUCGGAUGUGAAAUCCCCGGGCUCAACCUGGGAACUGCAUUCGAAACUGGCAGGCUAGAGUCUUGUAGAGGGGGGUAGAAUUCCAGGUGUAGCGGUGAAAUGCGUAGAGAUCUGGAGGAAUACCGGUGGCGAAGGCGGCCCCCUGGACAAAGACUGACGCUCAGGUGCGAAAGCGUGGGGAGCAAACAGGAUUAGAUACCCUGGUAGUCCACGCCGUAAACGAUGUCGAUUUGGAGGUUGUGCCCUUGAGGCGUGGCUUCCGGAGCUAACGCGUUAAAUCGACCGCCUGGGGAGUACGGCCGCAAGGUUAAAACUCAAAUGAAUUGACGGGGGCCCGCACAAGCGGUGGAGCAUGUGGUUUAAUUCGAUGCAACGCGAAGAACCUUACCUGGUCUUGACAUCCACAGAACUUAGCAGAGAUGCUUUGGUGCCUUCGGGAACUGUGAGACAGGUGCUGCAUGGCUGUCGUCAGCUCGUGUUGUGAAAUGUUGGGUUAAGUCCCGCAACGAGCGCAACCCUUAUCCUUUGUUGCCAGCGGU
rnacentral:rRNA from 1 species